UGACCUCGAAUCAGGUAGGAAUUACCCGCUGAACUUAAGCAUAUCAAUAAGCGGAGGA
rnacentral:rRNA from 1 species